rnacentral:rRNA from 1 species
UACGUAGGGUCCGAGCGUUGUCCGGAAUUACUGGGCGUAAAGAGCUCGUAGGUGGUUUGUCGCGUUGUUCGUGAAAACUCACAGCUCAACUGUGGGCGUGCGGGCGAUACGGGGCAGACUAGAGUACUGCAGGGGAGACUGGAAUUCCUGGUGUAGCGGUGGAAUGCGCAGAUAUCAGGAGGAACACCGGUGGCGAAGGCGGGUCUCUGGGCAGUAACUGACGCUGAGGAGCGAAAGCGUGGGGAGCGAACAGG